rnacentral:rRNA from 1 species
UACGAACUGUGCAAACGUUAUUCGGAAUCACUGGGCUUAAAGGGUGCGUAGGCGGCUUGUUAAGUCGGACGUGAAAUCCCCAGGCUCAACCUGGGAACUGCGUCCGAUACUGGAUGGCUUGAAUCCGGGAGAGGGAUGCAGAAUUCCAGGUGUAGCGGUGAAAUGCGUAGAUAUCUGGAGGAAUACCGGUGGCGAAGGCGGCAUCCUGGACCGGCAUUGACGCUGAGGAGCGAAAGCCAGGGGAGCAAAGCGGG